rnacentral:lncRNA from 1 species
UAAUAUUAUAUUUCUCGAACUCUUCUAUCCAUGGCAUUUUCUUUGCCCCAUGAUUCCCUUUCCUUGGACUCUUAAUGAAAAUUUAUGGGUUCUCUCUGGAUAAUUAUUUCAGCUUAAGCAAGUGUAAAGCAUAUAUGCUUGGCAGAUUUGAUAAGAGAAAAAAUGCUCUGUAAUUUUCGCCAUUGAUAGCCAGAGGUGCUUUGCGGCGUUAGAGCGAGGUUCUCUGAAAACUGUACGCCAAGAGGGUCUUGUGCACCAACACUGUGUCUUAAGUGGUGUUAUCCACAUUAGAAAAUUAAAUUUCAUCAUAAGUCCGAGUAUUAGGAAAAAUUGUAUCAUCGAAAAUUUAAUGAGAUAAAGAGUUUUAGAAAUAUAAAAAACAUCUGAAAAAAUUUUUAUCCUGAUUUCUAGAAGGGAGUACCAGACGGGACCUACUUUAAAAAAGAUUUGGAAACUUAGUUUAUUUUCUAAAAACGGAGAUUUUAAAUUUGCACUUCAUCCUAUUUUUAUUCAUACUACAAAUAUCUUUCAAGACAUACAUUAUUUUCUUUCCGUUCCUUUUUUACUGUGAACUGUCCAUCAAACAAUCUCAUCUAAAUAUCCACCUAUCCAUCCCAACUAAAUUAAUAUUUAAUAACGACCAACAUCGUUUCCGCCUACAAACACACUUUAAUUUAAGUUUUUAAAAAGCUUUCUCCGUGCAUACCACCUAGAAAAAUUAACACUAAUUACGCCACUUAAAUUUUAGACCGAAAAAAUUUAUAAAAAAUCUUAAAAAAGCAGAAAUAUUCAAUACCCAAGAAAUAUUUCUAGCUAUAUCAGAAAAAUUCUCAAAAAAUACCCAAAAAAUUGUUAAAAAUCCAACUUUCUCACCUUGCGUAAUUAGCACUAAUUACGCCACUUAAAUUUUAGACCGAAAAAAUUUAUAAAAAAUCUUAAAAAAUCAGAAAUAUUUAAUACCCAAGAAAUAUUUCUAGCUAUAUCAGAAAAAUUCUCAAAAAAUACCCAAAAAAUAGUUAAAAAUCCAACUUUCUCUUGUGCAUUUUUCGGUAUUUUAAUUUUCAGUAUAUUACAUAAUCUGACCCAACUCUACUAUUUCCGCAUAAUCCUAAAAAAUCCCAAAAAAUAUUUUAAAAAUCUCUUUUAGGUUUUUGCUUCUUUCAAAGGUUUGUUUUUCCUCAUACCUUAGGGUUUUCAUAAAUAGACUAGGGUUUUCUCCAUACUUCCUAGGGUUUUAUUCUAAGGGUUUUUAUAACAACAGACUUGUAGUUUGUGUUUAAAAAUCAUUUCCGCACCCUCUUCUAAACACCUUCUUCUAAACCCUAAACCCUAAAACCUUAAGCUUGGAACUAGCCAAGCCUAAACUCUCUAGCCCCCUGUUGUUACCUUCCCCCCUGUUUGGUAUCAGAGCCAAGACUUUCUUGGUACACUAAGACUAAUUAGCUUUAUCACUUAGUUAUUUUAAUAAACUUUUACAAUCAAUUCAACAGCCUCGUUUUCUUUUAAACAAGACAGAGAAAAGAAACGAAGACAAAUCUUCCUUUAAUACAACCACAUUAUUGAUAAUAGUGAAUACAACCACAUUAUUGAUAAUAGUAAAUCUUUUUUAGAUUUAUCCUCAAUGCAACCACAUUAUUGAUUUUAUGCCAAAAAGAAAGGCUCCAGAUAACAAUAUAGAUCAACUUUUCCGUAACAUCACAGACCAACCUUUUUCCCUAACAACUUUCAUUUUAACCUUACUUCUCUUAGGAUUUCCAGAAGACAUCAUAUAUAAUAUUUUAGAUAUAUUAAUAAUAUAUUGGGAAACUUUUGCCCCAUACCUUAUUACUUGGCCUUUUCGAUAUAUUGGAAGAAAAUAAUAAUUUUAUUCUAAGACUCUCAAAACUGGAUAAAGACAUAGCAUUAUUUUUACUAAACGAAUCAAUCUUUAGAUUCCUUUUAGUAUGCUUGUAUUAUCUCAUUGAACCAAUUCUAGACUUUCUUUACACUCCCUACCUUUUACAAACUUUUAUUAUAAAUUCUUUAUCUUUAGGAGUUCCACUCCAUAUUUUAAUUAGCAUUAUACACCUUAUAUAUCAGCUUUGGGAAAUAGACCCUUUUCUUGUAUUUCAAAUCUUUAGACAAUAAUUAACACACUGGCUAAUCAAGACAAAGACGAAAUAUUGCCAGACUACGAGGAAUACGAAGCCGAUAAUAACGACAACGACAACGAAAAUUUAAGACAAUCAGAAGACAAUAACAAUAGUGACGAAGACAGUUCAGACUAUAGUGAAAAUACUACAAGCCCAAGACAAUUUAACUGGCGAUACAAUAUCGUUCAUAUUGGAAGAAGAAGAUUUUUGGAAAUUACAGUCGAAGACGCUUUUGACAUAGACGCCUUCACCUUUAAUACUAUGGGCCGUUUAAGGAAAUAUCACAAGUUAGUUAGGACUAUACGUGCUAACUAACUUGUUAGCACUAUACUGCAUGGGGUAAAUGAAAAUUAGUGAAGUUUCACCAGCAGUAAUCGGCCCGUGAUUGCCUGGCCUCUAAACACGGCCUGGCCUUGAUAUAGUGCUAACAAGUCCCCAUAGGAGCGGGUUUAAAGAUCCCCAUAGGAGCGGGGAUUAGCACAAGUUUUAUCAAGGACUUCAACGGCCGCAGUAUUCUCCUCCCAAACCACCUCUUCCUUCGGCUAUAAAGGAAGAACCCCCUCCUCCUCUCCAAGCAGGAUAAGGAGAUAGCGCAGAUAGAAAUCAAGCAAGCUCUCUCCAAGCAUUAGAGAAAAUCCUACUUAGUCCCUGCCUUAUGUAAAAAUUGCGCUGAAGCUAAAAGGAAGAUCAUUUCGACGACAAGUGAAGAAUGAAGCUAGCCUCUUGUUAAAUAUAGCAUCCCAGCUCCACAAAUAAAUCCCCAAUAGCUUUUAUUUUCCUUCCCUUCCUGUAAAAAUUUAUCUUUUUCUCAACUGCAUUCUGGCGUGAAGAGUCUGUACAAACAAGUCCUUUCUUUCCCCCCGGGAAGUCCCGGAAGGGAAACCUUCUAGCGUUGUGAUGUAAGUUUUAUUUCUUGUUUAAUAUUAUAUUUCUCGAACUCUUCUAUCCAUGGCAUUUUCUUUGCCCCAUGAUUCCCUUUCCUUGGACUCUUAAUGAAAAUUUAUGGGUUCUCUCUGGAUAAUUAUUUCAGCUUAAGCAAGUGUAAAGCAUAUAUGCUUGGCAGAUUUGAUAAGAGAAAAAAUGCUCUGUAAUUUUCGCCAUUGAUAGCCAGAGGUGCUUUGCGGCGUUAGAGCGAGGUUCUCUGAAAACUGUACGCCAAGAGGGUCUUGUGCACCAACACUGUGUCUUAAGUGG